rnacentral:rRNA from 1 species
UACAGCGGGUGCAAGCGUUAAUCGGAAUUACUGGGCGUAAAGCGCGCGUAGGUGGUUUGUUAAGUUGGAUGUGAAAUCCCCGGGCUCAACCUGGGAACUGCAUUCAAAACUGACUGACUAGAGUGUGGUAGAGGGUGGUGGAAUUUCCUGUGUAGCGGUGAAAUGCGUAGAUAUAGGAUGGAUUUCCUAAGGCGACGGCGACCACCGAGACCUACACUGACACUGAGGUGCGAAAGCGUGGGGAGCAAACAGG